rnacentral:rRNA from 1 species
UAGGGAAUCUUCCACAAUGGACGAAAGUCUGAUGGAGCAACGCCGCGUGAGUGAUGAAGGGUUUCGGCUCGUAAAACUCUGUUGUUGGAGAAGAACGGGUGUCAGAGUAACUGUUGACAUCGUGACGGUAUCCAACCAGAAAGCCACGGCUAACUACGUGCCAGCAGCCGCGGUAAUACGUAGGUGGCAAGCGUUGUCCGGAUUUAUUGGGCGUAAAGCGAGCGCAGGCGGUUUUUUAGGUCUGAUGUGAAAGCCUUCGGCUUAACCGGAGAAGUGCAUCGGAAACCGGGAGACUUGAGUGCAGAAGAGGACAGUGGAACUCCAUGUGUAGCGGUGAAAUGCGUAGAUAUAUGGAAGAACACCAGUGGCGAAGGCGGCUAUCUGGUCUGCAACUGACGCUGAGGCUCGAAAGCAUGGGUAGCGAACAGGAUUAGAUACCCUGGUAGUCCAUGCCGUAAACGAUGAGUGCUAAGUGUUGGAGGGUUUUCCGCCCUUCAGUGCUGCAGCUAAC